rnacentral:lncRNA from 1 species
CUGGAUUACCUCUUGAUGCACCAUCUGUGUUACAUUUAAUCCAUUGUCCACUAGGGAAUUCCCAACAUACUCUUCUAUAAUGUAGCCUGGGGAUGUAGCUCUCCAACUCACUAACCAAUUCAGGCCAAUUAGAAGACAAUCUUUUCAUCUUAGGAAACCUGUACACCAGUAAAUUGUGCAGAGUUGCUGAAACCUGAGAAAUUAGCCUGUUCAAGGAGAUAUUACCACCAUACCUUCUUUUAUUUCUCCUCUUCCAUAGCUCCCAGACAACUACACAGGGCAAUGCUUGAUAUAAGGGCUUCAGAUAUACAUUUGCAGGGUGUUUCCACCACCUUUGAAAUACCUGCUGUAAGCUAACACCAUGUGUAAGACCUGCACCCAAGG